AACGAACGCUGGCGGCAGGCCUAACACAUGCAAGUCGAACGAGAUACUUCGGAUCUAGUGGCGGGACGGGUGAGUAACGCGUGGGAACGUGCCCGUUCUCUACGGAAUAGUCCCGGGAAAACUGGGUUUAACUACCGUAUACGCCCGUUCGGGGAAAGAAUUUCGGGGAAAGGAUCGGCCCGCGUUGGAUUAGGUAGUUGGUGGGGUAAUAGGCCGUACCAAGCCGACGAUCCAUAGCUGGUUUGAGAGGAUGAUCAGCCACACUGGGACUGAGACACGGCCCAGACUCCUACGGGAGCAGCAGUGGGGAAUCUUAGACAAUGGGGCAACCCUGAUCUAGCCAUGCCGCGUGAGUGACGAAGGCCCUAGGGUCGUAAAAGCUCUUUCGCCAGGGAUGAUAAUGACAGUACC
rnacentral:rRNA from 1 species